UACGUAGGGAGCGAGCGUUGUCCGGAUUCAUUGGGCGUAAAGAGCUCGUAGGCGGCUUGGCAAGUCGGGUGUGAAAACUCCAGGCUCAACCUGGAGACGCCACCCGAUACUGCCAUGGCUAGAGUCCGGUAGGGGACCACGGAAUUCCUGGUGUAGCGGUGAAAUGCGCAGAUAUCAGGAGGAACACCGGUGGCGAAGGCGACAUCCUGGACCAACACUGACGCUGAGGAGCGAAAGCCAGGGGAGCAAACGGG
rnacentral:rRNA from 1 species